AUUGAACGCUGGCGGCAGGCCUAACACAUGCAAGUCGAGCGAGCGGCGGACGGGUGCGUAAUGUAUGGGGACUGCCCGUUAGAGGGGGAUAACUACUGGAAACGGUAGCUAAUCCCGCAUACUAUCGGAUAACCCAUAUGGGAUUAGCUAGUAGGUGAGGUAAUGGCUCACCUAGGCUACGAUCCCUAGCUGGUCUGAGAGGUUGAUCGGCCACACUGGGACUGAGACACGGCCCAGACUCCUACGGAGGCAGCAGUGGGGAAUAUUGCGCAAUGGGCGCAAGCCUGAUGCAGCCAUGCCGCGUGUGUGAAGAAGGUCCUAGGGUUGUAAAGUACUUUCAGUCGGGAAGCGUUACCGACAGAAGAAGCAACGGCUAACUACGUGCCAGCAGCCGCGGUAAUUC
rnacentral:rRNA from 1 species